rnacentral:rRNA from 1 species
UACGUAGGCAGCAAGCGUUGUUCGGAGUUACUGGGCGUAAAGGGUGUGUAGGCGGUUCUUUAAGUUUGGUGUGAAAUCUCCCGGCUCAACUGGGAGGGUGCGCCGAAAACUGGAGGACUAGAGUGCGGGAUGGGAGAGUGGAAUUCCUGGUGUAGCGGUGAAAUGCGUAGAUAUCAGGAGGAACACCUGUGGUGUAGACGGCUCUCUGGACCGCAACUGACGCUGAGACACGAAAGCGUGGGUAGCAAACAGG